rnacentral:rRNA from 1 species
UACGGAGGAGGCAAGCGUUAUCCGGAAUUAUUGGGCGUAAAGCGUCCGCAGGUGGCACCUCAAGUCUGCUGUCAAAGACCGGGGCUUAACCCCAGAAAGGCAGUGGAAACUGAAGUGCUAGAGUGCAGUAGGGGUAGAGGGAAUUCCCGGUGUAGCGGUGAAAUGCGUAGAUAUCAGGAGGAACACCAAUUGCGAAGGCAGCUCGCUGGGACGUAACUGACGCUGAGACGCGAAAGCGUGGGGAGCAAACAGG